rnacentral:rRNA from 1 species
AUUUAUAAUUAAAAUCUAGUAUGAAGGGUUGAAUGAAAUAUAAACUUUUUUUAUAUUUAUUUUUUAAUUUAAUUUUUUAGUUAAAAAGCUAAAAUAAAUUUAAGGGACGAGAAGACCCUAUAGAUUUUUAUAAAAUUUAUUUAUAUAUUAUUAAAAAUUUAUAUUAUUUAAAUUUUAUUUUAUUGGGGAGAUAUAAAAAUUUAUUAAACUUUUUAUAAAAUUAUAAUAAAAAUUUUUAUUUAAAUGAUCCAGAAAUUUUGAUUAAAAAUUUAAAUUACCUUAGGGAUAACAGCAUAAUUUUUUUAUAAAGUUCUUAUUGAUAAAAAAGAUUAU